ACAUCCAGCGAACUUGGCAGAGAUGCCUUGGUGCCUUCGGGAACGCUGAGACAGGUGCUGCAUGGCUGUCGUCAGCUCGUGUUGUGAAAUGUUGGGUUAAGUCCCGCAACGAGCGCAACCCUUAUCCUUUGUUGCCAGCGAUUCGGUCGGGAACUCAAAGGAGACUGCCGGUGAUAAACCGGAGGAAGGUGGGGAUGACGUCAAGUCAUCAUGGCCCUUACGAGUAGGGCUACACACGUGCUACAAUGGCGCAUACAAAGAGAAGCGACCUCGCGAGAGCAAGCGGACCUCAUAAAGUGCGUCGUAGUCCGGAUCGGAGUCUGCAACUCGACUCCGUGAAGUCGGAAUCGCUAGUAAUCGUGGAUCAGAAUGCCACGGCGAAUACGUUCCCGGGCCUUGUACACACCGCCCGUCACACCAUGGGAGUGGGUUGCAAAAGAAGUAGGUAGCUUAACCUUCGGGAGGGCGCUUACCACUUUGUGAUUCAUGACUGGGGUGAAGUCGUAACAAGGUAAGCGUAGCGAG
rnacentral:rRNA from 1 species